GACGAACGCUGGCGGCGUGCUUAACACAUGCAAGUCGAACGAAGUGGCGAACGGGUGAGUAACGCGUAAUCAACCUGCCCUUCAGCGGGGGACAACAGUUGAAAACGACUGCUAAUACCUCAUCCUGCAGGAGGUGAGUGCGUCGGGUGAGCUCGUUGGAGGGGUAACGGCCCCCCAAGGCGAUGAUCAGUAGCCGGUACGAGAGGAUGAACGGCCACAUUGGGACCGAGAAACGGCCCAGACUUCUACGGGAGGCAGCAGGGGGGAAGCUUCCGCAAUGGACGAAAGGCUGACGGAGCAACGCCGCGGGAGGGAUGACGGCCUUCGGGGUGGAAAGCUCUGUUAAUCGGGAAGCGGUACCGGAAUAGAAAGCCACGGCUAACUACGUGCCAGCCGCCGCGGUAAUUC
rnacentral:rRNA from 1 species